rnacentral:rRNA from 1 species
CCGUGAAAAAAUUAGAGUGUUCAAAGCAGGCAGAUCCAAUUUUCUGCCACCGAAUACAUUAGCAUGGGAUAAUGGAAUAGGACCCUGUCCUCCUAUUUUCAGUUGGUUUUGGCAGCGCGAGGACUAGGGUAAUGAUUAAUAGGGAUAGUUGGGGGCAUUAAUAUUUAAUUGUCAGAGGUGAAAUUCUUGGAUUUAUGAAAGAUUAACUUCUGCGAAAGCAUCUGCCAAGGAUGUUUUCAUUAAUCAAGAACGAAAGUUAGGGGAUCGAAGACGAUCAGAUACCGUCGUAGUCUUAACCAUAAACGAUGCCGACCAGCGAUUAGGAGACGUUGAAUACAAAACACCACCAUCGGUGCGGUCGUCCUUGGCGUCUCGGUUUCGGCCGGGGCGCGGGGAUGGCUUAGCCCGGUGGCACCGG